rnacentral:lncRNA from 1 species
CACGUUUUCACCUGGUUAUCGUCGAAGAUUAAAUUUAAAUUGAUUGCUGAGGAUACUAAAUUUAGAAGAGUGCAAUUCUCAAACCGUAUUAAAGAUGCUUUGUCAAGAAAUAAAGUAGUAAGGGAAAGAGUGUUUCCAGUUUGCUUUCCUUCAAAAAGUUCUUAUACUGGUCAUUUUACUAGAGAUGAUACUUAUUACUUAAGUAUAAAGACGUCCGAAACUUGUGUUGUUUAAAGAAUCUUAAUGUAAGUAAAGAUGUUACUACAAAAUAAUAACAGUUUA